rnacentral:lncRNA from 1 species
UAAGAGCUUGUUGGUGAGGAGAGAAGAGAGGAAUCAACAAUCAAAUGAACAUGGAAAGCGGCCGCUGUCAAAGAUUUUGAUAUUUUAGAGUAGAAUCAUUAUUACAAACAUAAGCAUCAUGGAAUUGUGCAGUCAAGUGAGAGUGAAUACAAAGGGACAGUAAAUGUGCCCUUCUGAGACAUGACAGUGCCGCAUUGAAGUUCUGGACUUUGUCUUGGUGCAGUUGGUGGUGUCGACAAUGUUGUUGGAACAAAUAGAAUAAAGAGUUGCAGCA